rnacentral:tRNA from 1 species
UCCCCGAUAACUCAAUUGGUAGAGUGUUCGACUGUUAAUCGAAAUGUUCCUGGUUCGAGUCCAGGUCGGGGAG